AGAGGGGAAGAUUUUACACCCAGAGUAUUGGAUAAAGAGCUCGGAACUGGAAGCAGGCCUACACAGGGCCAGAACAUGCAUGACACGUGAGAAGACGCACCUUCAUCUGUGGGGCGAGAAAUGUGCAAAUCGGCAUCAAUACAGAACUGCUGAAGAAAAAAAUAUAUAGUGUCUCCGAAAAGCAACGUAUUCUCUGGAGACUUCAGGAAUCAUCUACACAUCACAAUUCUAUAGACUUCAAAUGCAUGAAGCAUUUGGAUGUGCUGUAACCCAGAGGCAGACCUUCCAUUUAGACAUGGCCACCCGUCCACACGUCACUACGAUUCAUUCAGCCCCGUGUGAGCACUUGCCUAGAAGCUGGAGCCAAGCCACUUGUGCAACCUGUUGUUUAACUUUGGGUAAAUUACUUGCCCACAGAAGGCCCAAGAUGUCUGAUCUUCAAAAAUAUGAAAAUGGAGCUCAGGAAGAGUUCAUCAGAAUACUGCCCUCAGGCCAAAUCCA